rnacentral:rRNA from 1 species
CUAGCCCUACGGGAGGCAGCAGUAAGGGAUAUUGGUCAAUGGGGGAAACCCUGAACCAGCAACGCCGCGUGAGGGAAGACGGUUUUCGGAUUGUAAACCUCUGUCCUCUGUGAAGAUGAUGACGGUAGCAGAGGAGGAAGCUCCGGCUAACUACGUGCCAGCAGCCGCGGUAAUACGUAGGGAGCGAGCGUUAUCCGGAUUUACUGGGUGUAAAGGGAGCGUAGACGGCAUAGCAAGUCUGAAGUGAAAGCCCGUGGCUCAACCGCGGAACUGCUUUGGAAACUGUUAAGCUGGAGUACUGGAGA